CGCGAUGCUGACAGAGUCCUGCAAAUCUUCUCACGGUACCUGAAGAGCGAGUGCAGGGAGAGGCGUCUCCUGGCGUUCAAGGCCCUCCUCAGGCUCACUGAUAAUCCCUUGAUGACCAGAAAAAUGUGGAGCCUGACUCAAAGACUUGUGAGGCUCCUGUGGGAUGAAGAUGGAGAGAUAGUUAAGAUAAAGGUCAUGGUACUCAGCUUUAUCAUCUUGGACAAGGACACACCAAUACCCAGCCUGAUCGCACUGCAGCUGGCUGAGGCGCUCCCGCCUCUCUUUGACCAUAAUAAUAACCAGGUGCAGCAGCUCUCCAUAUUGCUCUUCCAAACAUUGCUGACUCUUCCACUGGAAAAGAAAAUAAAGGCCCUGAAGACACAAGUGAGCCACAGCCUGCUCCCACUUUUCUUCCACUGCCA